rnacentral:rRNA from 1 species
GGUGAACGCUGGCGGCGUGCCUAAUACAUGCAAGUCGAGCGAACAGACGAGGAGCUUGCUCCUCUGACGUUAGCGGUGGACGGGUGAGUAACACGUGGAUAACCUACCUAUAAGACUGGGAUAACUUCGGGAAACCGGAGCUAAUACCGGAUAACAUGUUGAACCGCAUGGUUCAACAGUGGAAGACGGUCUUGCUGUCACUUAUAGAUGGAUCCCCGCCGCAUUAGCUAGUUGGUAAGGUAACGGCUUACCAAGGCAACGAUGCGUAGCCGACCUGAGAGGGUGAUCGGCCACACUGGAACUGAGACACGGUCCAGACUCCUACGGGAGGCAGCAGUAGGGAAUCUUCCGCAAUGGGCGAAAGCCUGACGGAGCAACGCCGCGUGAGUGAAGAAGGUCUUCGGAUCGUAAAACUCUGUUAUUAGGGAAGAACAAAUGUGUAAGUAACUAUGCACGUCUUGACGGUACCUAAUCAGAAAGCCACGGCUAACUACGUGCCAGCAGCCGCCGUAA